UACGAGUGCGUCGAGCGUUAUCCGGAAUCAUUGGGCGUAAAGCGCGCGUAGGCGGCCCUGUAAGUCCGUUGUGAAAGUCAAAGGCUCAACCUUUGAAAGCCGAUGGAUACUGCAGGGCUAGAGUCCGGAAGAGGCGAGUGGAAUUCCUGGUGUAGCGGUGAAAUGCGCAGAUAUCAGGAAGAACACCCGUGGCUAAGGCGGCUCUCUAGUACGGUACUGACGCUGAGACGCGAAAGCGUGGGGAGCGAACAGG
rnacentral:rRNA from 1 species